rnacentral:lncRNA from 1 species
UUUGUGAUUCAGGCUUAGUUUGAGAUUCGGGAGAGAUUACGUUACAUACGGUGAGAAAGUACGAUGAGAAAAUAUUUUAUUUAUUUCCGUACACAAAUUUAUGUUCUGCAUAUUGCGAUCAGUCGGUUACGAUAUAUUUUCUGCGAUCCCAUCAGAGAACAUAGAAACAUAUUUCUAUAUUCUUUUAUCCCAACUUCAUUUUAUCUAAUAACAUUAAAUAUGUUGGCUUAAAUGGACCAGCAUCCUGCUCUAUGGCGAGAGGUCAUAUUGGGCCGAGUCAUAUUCGAAAUGACGUGAGGCUGAUGGGUCGAGUCAUGUUCGAAGUAGCGUGAAGCUGGUAGGGCCGAGUUACAAUCGAGAUCCGUGGGCGCUGCAUCUGCAUGUACGCUUUAAGUGAAUUAGUUGCGUAUUUCUAAUAGCUCGAAUUUUUGGGAUUAAUGGUUAGCGCCAAUGAUCCGACAAAUGGUAUCAGAGUCAGUAGUCAUGGGUUUGAUUCCUGCAUGCUACAAAUGUGUGUAGAUGCUGGAAGGGGGAUUGUUUGCUUAAAUGGGCCAGUAUGCUACCCUGUGGCGGGAGGCCAUGUUGGACUGAGUCAUGUUCGCAGUAGCAUGAGGCUGGUUGGGCUGAGUCACAAUCGAAAUCUGUGGGCAUUAUAAUUAUAUCUAUACGCUUUAAGUGAGCUUUUGGGAUUAAUGGUUGC